rfam:Gossypium arboreum cultivar AKA8401 contig_746_1, whole genome shotgun sequence.
UGUUAAAAAUUUUAUCCAUUUCUAUAGUUAAAAAUUGAUGUGAUUGACGGAAUAAUCAGACAUUUAUACGUGGUGUGCCACAAGUUUUUAAUAGUAGAAAUUGAUGAAAUUUUUAGCA